rnacentral:rRNA from 1 species
GACGAACGCUGGCGGCGUGCUUAACACAUGCAAGUCGAGCGGGAUCCAACCGGUGGCAACACCGGGGAAGAUCUAGCGGCGAACGGGUGAGUAACACGUGAGCAACCUGCCCCGAAGACUGGGAUAACACCGGGAAACCGGUGCUAAUACCGGAUGUCGUCAUUAGGCCGCAUGACCUGAUGAUGAAAGGAUUCAUCGCUUCGGGAGGGGCUCGCGGACUAUCAGCUGUUGGUGGGGUAACGGCCUACCAAGGCGACGACGGCUAGCUGGUCUGAGAGGACGACCAGCCACACUGGGACUGAGACACGGCCCAGACUCCUACGGGAGGCAGCAGUGGGGAAUCUUGCGCAAUGGGCGAAAGCCUGACGCAGCGACGCCGCGUGAGGGAUGACGGCCU